rnacentral:rRNA from 1 species
GGGUGAGACCUGAUGCCGAGCCGUUUGUGGUGAAGUGGAUGAUCCUGUGCUGUCGAGAAAAGCCUCUAGCGAGUUGUGUGGCGGCCCGUACCCUAAACCGACUCAGGUGGUCUGGUAGAGAAUACCGAGGCGUUCGGGUGAACUAUGGUUAAGGAACUCGGCAAAAUGCCCCCGUAACUUCGGGAGAAGGGGGGCCAUGUCUGGUGAGGGCACGUGCUGUCUGAGCUGGGUGUGGCCGCAGAGACCAGCGAGAAGCGACUGUUUACUAAAAACACAGGUCCGUGCGAAGCCGUAAGGCGAGGUAUACGGACUGACGCCUGCCCGGUGCUGGAACGUUAAGGGGACCGGUUAGUCACAUUUCGGUGUGGUGAAGCUGAGAACUUAAGCGCCAGUAAACGGCGGUGGUAACUAUAACCAUCCUAAGGUAGCGAAAUUCCUUGUCGGGUAAGUUCCGACCUGCACGAAUGGCGUAACGACUUCUUGACUGUCUCAACCAUAGGCCCGGUGAAAUUGCACUACGAGUAAAGAUGCUCGUUUCGCGCAGCAGGACGGAAAGACCCCGGGACCUUUACUACAGCUUGAUAUUGGUGUUCGGUUCGGCUUGUGUAGGAUAGGUGGGAGACUGUGAUGCGGACACGCCAGUGUUCGUGGAGUCGUUGUUGAAAUACCACUCUGGUCGUGCUGGAUGUCUAACCUGGGUCCGUGAUCCGGAUCGGGGACAGUGUCUGGUGGGUAGUUUAACUGGGGCGGUUGCCUCCUAAAGAGUAACGGAGGCGCCCAAAGGUUCCCUCAGCCUGGUUGGUCAUCAGGUGGUGAGUGUAAGUGCACAAGGGAGCUUGACUGUGAGACUGACGGGUCGAGCAGGGACGAAAGUCGGGACUAGUGAUCCGGCGGUGGCUUGUGGAAGCGCCGUCGCUCAACGGAUAAAAGGUACCCCGGGGAUAACAGGCUGAUCUUCCCCAAGAGUCCAUAUCGACGGGAUGGUUUGGCACCUCGAUGUCGGCUCGUCGCAUCCUGGGGCUGGAGUCGGUCCCAAGGG